rnacentral:rRNA from 1 species
UACGGAGGGUGCGAGCGUUGUCCGGAAUCACUGGGCGUAAAGGGCGCGUAGGCGGCGCGGGAAGUCCGUGGUGAAAGCCUGAGGCUCAACUUCGGGUCGGCCAUGGAUACUCCUGGGCUUGAGCACUGUAGAGGCAGGUGGAAUUCCGGGUGUAGCGGUGGAAUGCGUAGAGAUCCGGAAGAACACCGGUGGCGAAGGGCG